CGGCUGUAGCUAUAGUGAUAUUUGAGGUUUUACUGGCCGGUGGUUGUUCUUUCAGUCGACUAAUCUGCUUACCGAACUUCAAACAUCU